rnacentral:rRNA from 1 species
GAUUGACGUUACUCGCAGAAGAAGCACCGGCUAACUCCGUGCCAGCAGCCGCGGUAAUACGGAGGGUGCAAGCGUUAAUCGGAAUUACUGGGCGUAAAGCGCACGCAGGCGGUCUGUCAAGUCGGAUGUGAAAUCCCCGGGCUCAACCUGGGAACUGCAUCCGAAACUGGCAGGCUAGAGUCUUGUAGAGGGGGGUAGAAUUCCAGGUGUAGCGGUGAAAUGCGUAGAGAUCUGGAGGAAUACCGGUGGCGAAGGCGGCCCCCUGGACA